UACGGAGGGUGCAAGCGUUAUCCGGAUUCACUGGGUUUAAAGGGCGCGUAGGCGGCCCUCCUUGUCGCGUGUGAAAGCCCCGGGCUCAACCUGGGAACGGCGCGCGAGACGGGGGGGCUGGAGUUCGGGAGAGGAGCGUGGAAUUCCCAGUGUAGAGGUGAAAUUCGUAGAUAUUGGGAAGAACACCGGUGGCGAAGGCGGCGCUCUGGACCGAGACUGACGCUGAGGCGCGAAAGCGUGGGGAGCAAACAGG
rnacentral:rRNA from 1 species